rnacentral:tRNA from 1 species
GGGGAUUUAGCUCAGUGGUAGAGCGCUUGCCUAGCAAGCGCAAGGCCCUGGGUUUGAUCCUCAGCUCCA